GCUCAGAUUGAACGCUGGCGGCAGGCCUAACACAUGCAAGUCGAGCGGUAGCACAGAGAGCUUGCUCUCGGGUGACGAGCGGCGGACGGGUGAGUAAUGUCUGGGAAACUGCCUGAUGGAGGGGGAUAACUACUGGAAACGGUAGCUAAUACCGCAUAACGUCGCAAGACCAAAGUGGGGGACCUUCGGGCCUCAUGCCAUCAGAUGUGCCCAGAUGGGAUUAGCUAGUAGGUGGGGUAACGGCUCACCUAGGCGACGAUCCCUAGCUGGUCUGAGAGGAUGACCAGCCACACUGGAACUGAGACACGGUCCAGACUCCUACGGGAGGCAGCAGUGGGGAAUAUUGCACAAUGGGCGCAAGCCUGAUGCAGCCAUGCCGCGUGUGUGAAGAAGGCCUUCGGGUUGUAAAGCACUUUCAGCGGGGAGGAAGGCGGUAAGGUUAAUAACCCUCGGCGAGUGACGUUACCCGCAGAAGAAGCACCG
rnacentral:rRNA from 1 species